CUACAGGCUCCUUCUCAAGAGAUUCUACCAACUCCUCCACAGGUAAUACAGCCUCCUUCACAGGAGAUUCUGCCCUAUCUUCCUCGUCAAGUACUACAGCGUCCUUCUCGGGAUAUUCUGCCCUCUCUUCUUGUUCAGUUACUACAGCCUCCUUCUCAUGAGAUUCGGCCCUCUCUUUCUCGUCAGGUACUACAGCCUCUUUCUCAGGAGAUUCUGCCCUCUCUUCCUCUUCAGCUACUACAGCCUCUUUCUUAGGAGAUUCUGCCAUUGCUUCCGUUUCAGGUACUACAGCCUUCUUCCCAGGAGAUUCUGCCCUCUCUUCCUCUACAGGUACUACAGCCUCCUUCUCAUGAGAUUCUGCCCUCUCCCUCUCUUCAGGCACUACGGCUUCCUUUUCAGGAAAUUCUACCCUAUCUUCUUGUUCAGGUACUACGGCCUCCUCAGAUUCUAUCUUUUCUUCCUCUUCAGAUACUGCUGCCUCCUUCUCCUGAGAUUCUGCCCUCUCCGCCUGGUCA